CAAAAACAUUUCCUCUUAGAAUAAGAGGUAAGGCCUGCUCACUGAUAAUUUAAAGAGCCGCAGUAUCCUAACUGUGCUAAGGUAGCAUAAUCAUUAGUCUUUUAAUUGAGGACUGGUAUGAAUGGCUAAACGAGAAAAUGACUUUUUUUGUUAUAAAAAUCGAAUUUAAUUUUUUAGUGAAAAAGCUAAAAUUUUUCAGAAAGACGAGAAGACCCUAUAGAGUUUUAUAUCCUAUAAUAUUUAUUCUAAUUUGAUUUCUAAAGACUAAAUAUAUAAAAGAUAUUUUGUUGGGGCGACAUUAAGAUAAAUAAAACUCUUUAUUUUUAUAAUUUCUAUAGAAAUAUAUAAUGAUCCUCUAUAAGGGAUCAAAAGAAAAAAUUACCUUAGGGAUAACAGCGUAAUCUUUUUUGAGAGUUCUAAUCGACAAAAAGGUUUGCGACCUCGAUGUUGGACUAAAAUUUAGGCAAGGUGCAGCAGUUUUGCUUUAAGGUCUGUUCGACCUAUAAUA
rnacentral:rRNA from 1 species